rnacentral:rRNA from 1 species
UACGUAGGGAGCAAGCGUUGUCCGGAAUCAUUGGGCGUAAAGCGCGCGUAGGUGGCCUCAUAAGUCCGCUGUGAAAGUCAAAGGCUCAACCUUUGAAAGCCGGUGGAUACUGUGAGGCUAGAGUACGGAAGAGGAGAGUGGAAUUCCUGGUGUAGCGGUGAAAUGCGCAGAUAUCAGGAAGAACACCAAUGGCGAAAGCAGCUCUCUGGGACGGUACUGACGCUGAGACGCGAAAGCGUGGGGAGCGAACAGG